AUGUUGCAAGGGGAGAGGCUUUAAAGUGACCUGGACCCAGGGCCAAGUCCCAGGAACAGGCAGGUUCAGAGGUGUAGCCAUCAGGGAGAGAGCUGCCAUGCCACGCCUGGCCAUGAGGAGGUGCCAGCGACCUUUUUGCCUUCACCCCCAGCCUGUGACACUGGACUGAGGGCUCUGUAGACUGUACUGUACUGUGACUAACCAGCAGGAAUCGCUGCUUGAGGGAUAAACAUCUGGCCUCCUCCCCAGUCCUCUUCCCUGGAAGCUGUGCAUGCCACCUUCAUCACUGCAACAAAUCCACUGCGUGAUCAGCAGAGCAGCUGGACCGCUGAGGAGCUCAUAUCUCUCAGCCUGCCAUGGCCGAAAGGAGAGACGUGGAACUGGACAUUUAAAAUCUAUAAUAGAGACUCAAAAGAGAAACAUCAGGAUGGUAACACAAGGAGGAGGAAGCAGGCAGUGCUGUGGGCUUCAUUUCUGUAACAUGGAUGUUUUCCAUUAUCCGAGCUCCACAGUUCUGUAUUUUCAGUAUUGUACCAGCAGGAAGAGAACAGGAACUCCCUUUGGACGAUCAGCAUGAUUGAGUAGCUAUAGCACUGGACUGCAAGGUAAGAGAGCUGUGUUCCGUUCCGGGUUCUGCUGUGUUGCCUCCUCUCCUUCAGCUGCCUUGUCCAUUUAGAGUACGAGCUACAUGGGCAACCAUCUCUCACAACGCACGUGGACAAUGUCCAGCACCAUGGGGCCAUAAUCUCCAUUGUUA